rnacentral:rRNA from 1 species
UACGUAUGGAGCAAGCGUUAUCCGGAUUUACUGGAUGUAAAGGGAGCGCAGGCGGCUUUGCAAGUCUGAUGUGAAAGGCCGGGGCUCAACCCCGGGACUGCAUUGGAAACUGUAAAGCUAGAGUGCCGGAGAGGUAAGCGGAAUUCCUAGUGUAGCGGUGAAAUGCGUAGAUAUUAGGAGGAACACCAGUGGCGAAGGCGGCUUACUGGACGGCAACUGACGCUGAGGCUCGAAAGCGUGGGGAGCAAACAGG